rnacentral:rRNA from 1 species
UACGAAGGGGGCUAGCGUUGUUCGGAAUUACUGGGCGUAAAGCGUAUGCAGGCGGACUUUUAAGUCGGGGGUGAAAUCCCGAGGCUCAACCUCGGAACUGCCUUCGAUACUGGAAGUCUUGAGUCCGGAAGAGGUGAGUGGAAUUCCGAGUGUAGAGGUGAAAUUCGUAGAUAUUCGGAGGAACACCAGUGGCGAAGGCGGCUCACUGGUCCGGUACUGACGCUGAGGUGCGAAAGCGUGGGGAGCAAACAGG